UCAGUGCAAAGAACGCAGCCUGAUAAAUUUUGAUUAGUUGCCACCGAUGUGGACCUAGAAUUGUCAUAGCUCGGCUUCAUUGUCAAUGCCAGCUGUGAACAUGGAAUAGAAGCUUUUCCACUCUGUAUAGGAUCCGCUGAACUUGGGUAGCUGCAGCUGUGGCGCAAUCGAUGGGCUAUGUACAUAAUGGAUUCACUUGGGUUCAUUCGAAACGUGGAACAAUGCGUGGGCUGAGACCGCUUGCCCAACUCACGCUGAAGAAUAGUCCCCAAUCUCCGUCACUGAUUACAACAGUCCUGCAGGUCAUAUUCAUCCAAGCUGCGUACCCUUUCGUCGUCUAAUCGGAGAACGAGGCGCUGAAGUCGGUCGAGUAUGGGCUGUAUGUGUUGAGGCUUAAGAAUGCAAUCCGGUUAGUAGCUGGCUCAGCACUGGCCAACACUGGAAUAUCAGCUGGCGUUGGUGGAGUAAGUUCCACCUUGGCGUACUUCAAGAAAACAUCGAGCUGAGGCCUUGCCUGUUUACAAGUCCCGAUCUCUUUGUAGACAAACUCGCCAUAUUUUCGUGUAAUCAAGUCAAUGACCAUAUCUAACAGAUAUGCCAAAUAUUUUCAUUUUGUAUGGGCAAAAGUAAAGCUUUAAAAUUCAGUUAAUAAAGAGCUUGCUUGGUUGACCCCCAGA